AUUGAACGCUGGCGGCAGGCCUAACACAUGCAAGUCGAACGAGUGGCGGACGGGUGAGUAAUGUCUGGGAAACUGCCUAUUAGAGGGGGAUAACUAUUGGAAACGAUAGCUAAUACCGCAUACCCUCGGAUGUGCCCAGAUGGGAUUAGCUAGUAGGUGGGGUAAAGGCUCACCUAGGCGACGAUCCCUAGCUGGUCUGAGAGGAUGACCAGCCACACUGGACUUGAGACACGGGCCAGACUCCUACGGGAGGCAGCAGUGGGGAAGAUUGCACAAUGGGCGCAAGCCUGAGGCAGCCAUGCCGCGUGUAUGAAGAAGGCCUUCGGGUUGUAAAGUACUUUCAGCGGGGAGGCGUUACCCGCAGAAGAAGCACCGGCUAACUCCGUGCCAGCAGCCGCGGUAAUUC
rnacentral:rRNA from 1 species